rnacentral:rRNA from 1 species
UGGGGAAUAUUGCACAAUGGGCGAAAGCCUGAUGCAGCGACGCCGCGUGAGGGAUGACGGCCUUCGGGUUGUAAACCUCUUUCAGCAGGGACGAAGCGCAAGUGACGGUACCUGCAGAAGAAGCACCGGCUAACUACGUGCCAGCAGCCGCGGUAAUACGUAGGGUGCGAGCGUUGUCCGGAAUUACUGGGCGUAAAGAGCUCGUAGGCGGUUUGUUACGUCGUCUGUGAAAUCCUAGGGCUUAACCCUGGACGUGCAGGCGAUACGGACUGACUUGAGUACUACAGGGGAGACUGGAAUUUCUGGUGUGGCGGUGGAAUGCACAGAUAUCAGGAAGAACACCGAUGGCGAAGGCAGGUCUCUGGGUAGUAACUGACGCUGAGGAGCGAAAGCAUGGGUAGCGAACAGG